AACGCACAUUGCGCCCGCUGGUAUUCCAGCGGGCAUGCCCGUUCGAGCGUCAUUUCAAUUCCUUCCUGGGUGACUCUUCUACUAAAUUUUUAGUGGAGUGUCUACUGGGGCGUUGGCACUGGGCGCCACCUUUUUUGGAGGCGGCCGGAGCCGAAAUAAAGUGGCGGACGCGCAGCGGCCCCUAGCGCAGUAGAACAUCCUUCUCGCUUGGGAGACCUGCAGUGGUGGACCACAGCCCUACAUAUUUUAUAUGUAAAGCUAUAUUAUAAAAACUUGACCUCGAAUCGGGUAGGACUACCCGCUGAACUUAA
rnacentral:misc_RNA from 1 species